GACGUAGGGCGCGAGCGUUGUCCGGAUUUAUUGGGCGUAAAGAGCUCGUAGGCGGCUUGUUGCGUCGACCGUGAAAACCCGCGGCUUAACUGUGGGCUUGCGGUCGAUACGGGCGGGCUGGAGUUCGGUAGGGGAGACUGGAAUUCCUGGUGUAGCGGUGAAAUGCGCAGAUAUCAGGAGGAACACCGGUGGCGAAGGCGGUUCUCUGGGCAUUACCUGACGCUGAGGAGCGAAAGUGUGGGGAGCGAACAGG
rnacentral:rRNA from 1 species